GCUUGUACGAGUGAGAUAGAAACACAUAGGAGGCGUGUCACAAUUGGUGAACACUGCCAAUACUCCCCAGAGGUUUAGCUCGAUGAUAACAUUUGAUUCAUUUUCUCACCUCACAACUCGGUCUCAUAAGCAGUUGUGCUCUCGUGAGGGAAACUUACCUGCAUCGAGUAAAUCAUAGGCGAGGAGCUAGCUGAGUUGAGACAAUACCUGAACCGAGUCGAGGAGCUGAGAGAAGCAUAUCCGAUUAUUUCAUUUCGUCAAAUCAACACAUAAAAAAUGGCGAGAAUACAAAGUUAUCGUUGUGAACUAACUGAACUAUUGGAGACGCAUCACCAAUUAUUGGACCAGUUAGCAGAAAAAGGAUGGACAAAUCUACAAUAUUUAACUUUUGUGAGAGAUUAUGAAAAAUUAGGAGUUUGGCAUAGUGAUAACUAUAAUCAUAUUCUUGUUUGUGAUUUAUAUGGUACAUCAUAUGAUAAAUUCUGGGGGAAUGGCGAUAUCCCAGGCUCAUGGAGAUGUGUGUGUGCAAUCCUUACACACUCUAUCAAUAGAAUUAAGAAGGUUAUAAUAGAAAACAAUGCUCAUUUAACAAAAGAACAAUUAAAUAAACUUAUCUGGAAUUUUUUACGAGAUUCUUCAGAUGAG